CCGGGUGCGGCCCCGGUCCAAGUCCCUUGGAACAGGGCGUCGCAGAGGGUGAGAAUCCCGUACGCGGCCGAUGGCCAAGCCCUUGUGGAGCCCUUUCGACGAGUCGAGUUGUUUGGGAAUGCAGCUCUAAAUGGGUGGUAAAUUUCAUCUAAAGCUAAAUAUUUGCUGGAGACCGAUAGCGCACAAGUAGAGUGAUCGAAAGAUGAAAAGCACUUUGAAAAGAGAGUCAAACAGUACGUGAAAUUGUUGAAAGGGAAGCGCUUGCAAUCAGACUCGUUCGCGGGUGCUCAGCCGUCCCUCGGGGCGGUGCAUUCUCCCGCGUUUCGGGCCAGCAUCGGUUUCGGCGGCCGGAUAAAGGCUCCUGGGAACGUAGCUCUCUUCGGGGAGUGUUAUAGCCCAGGGUGCAAUGCGGCCAGCCGGGACCGAGGACCGCGCGUUCGCUAGGAUGCUGGCGUAAUGGUUGUCAGCGACCCGUCUUGAAACACGGACCAAGGAGUCGACCAAUCUGGCGAGUUUUAGGGCAUGAAACCCUGAAGCGCAAUGAAAGUGAACGCAGGUGGGAGCCCCCCGGGUGCACCAUCGACCGAUCCUGAUGUCUUCGGAUGGAUUUGAGUACGAGCCCGGUUGGUCGGACCCCGAAAGAUGGUGAACUAUGCGUGAAUAGGGGUGAAGCCAGAGGAAACUCUGGUGGAGGCUCGCAGCGGUUCUGACGUGCAAAUCGAUCGUCAAAUUUGCGCAUAGGGGCGAAAGACUAAUCGAACUAUCUAGUAGCUGGUUCCCGUCGAAGUUUCCCUCAGGAUAGCAGCAACGAAAUUACAGUCUCAUGAGGUAGAGCAAACGAUUAGAGGUCUUGGGGUUGAAAUCGACCUUAACCUAUUCUCGAACUUCGAAUAUGUGAGAAGUCCUUGUUACUUAAUUGAACGUGGACAUUUGGAAUGUAUCGUUGCUAGUGGG
rnacentral:rRNA from 1 species